rnacentral:lncRNA from 1 species
AGAUUAUCAGGCUUGGUGGCAAGCCCCCUUAACUGCCGAGCCACUCCCCAGCUCUGCUCCUCUGUUAUGUGUUUGCCAUUGUCUUUGGGCUCCUCUCAGUAUUUAGGACCCAGCACAGUGACCGAGCCUGCUGCUUGUUCUUGUGUUGUGGUUCGGUUCUUGGUGUGCGUUGCCCUGCACCAGGAUCUGCAUGCCUCUCUCUUCUCUCUGGCUCCUGUGCAUUCCUCUUCAUUUACCCCACAGGAAAAGGAACAGAAAAGCGGAUGGGAAAUUAUGGAAUUGACCUGUUUAUCCUUAUUGGAAUCUUAGGCGUUUGAAAAUGUAAGGAGGUACAAGACAUUUGUUUAGCUGAAAACCCUCUCUCCUCGGGACUUAAGGGUGUCAUGUUACAUUCUUCUAGUUCCUGGAAUUGCCAGGCUUCUGGAUUCUGACCUUUUGUGUAAGAGCUCUUCUGUUUCUCCUCAUCUUUUCUUUGCCUAGUGUUUUGGAAAUUAUCUAUGACCUGCUACAGUUAAAAAAAGGGGGGAUGACAUUUUCUUGAAUUGUUUAUUGAUUUCUCUCCAUUUCUUGGAUAAAUUAUUGAGAUGUUG